GAUGAACGCUGGCGGCGUGCCUAAUACAUGCAAGUCGAGCGAACAGACGAGGAGCUUGCUCCUCUGACGUUAGCGGCGGACGGGUGAGUAACACGUGGAUAACCUACCUAUAAGACUGGGAUAACUUCGGGAAACCGGAGCUAAUACCGGAUAAUAUAUUGAACCGCAUGGUUCAAUAGUGAAAGACGGUUUUGCUGUCACUUAUAGAUGGAUCCGCGUCGCAUUAGCUAGUUGGUAAGGUAACGGCUUACCAAGGCAACGAUGCGUAGCCGACCUGAGAGGGUGAUCAGCCACACUGGAACUGAGACACGGUCCAGACUCCUACGGGAGGCAGCAGUAGGGAAUCUUCCGCAAUGGGCGAAAGCCUGACGGAGCAACGCCGCGUGAGUGAUGAAGGUCUUCGGAUCGUAAAACUCUGUUAUUAGGGAAGAACAAAUGUGUAAGUAACUAUGCACGUCUUGACGGUACCUAAUCAGAAAGCCAUGGCUAACUACGUG
rnacentral:rRNA from 1 species